rnacentral:miRNA from 2 species
AGGGAACUUCUGCUGCUGAUAUA